rnacentral:rRNA from 1 species
UACGUAGGGUGCAAGCGUUGUCCGGAAUUAUUGGGCGUAAAGAGCUCGUAGGCGGUUUGUCGCGUCGGCUGUGAAAUCCCGAGGCUCAACCUCGGGCCUGCAGUCGAUACGGGCAAACUAGAGUGUGGUAGGGGAGACUGGAAUUCCUGGUGUAGCGGUGAAAUGCGCAGAUAUCAGGAGGAACACCGGUGGCGAAGGCGGUUCUCUGGGCAUUACCUGACGCUGAGGAGCGAAAGUGUGGGGAGCGAACAGG